rnacentral:rRNA from 1 species
UACAGAGGAUGCAAGCGUUAUCCGGAAUUAUUGGGCGUAAAGAGCUCGUAGGCGGUUUGUCGCGUCUGCCGUGAAAGUCCGGGGCUCAACUCCGGAUCUGCGGUGGGUACGGGCAGACUAGAGUGCAGUAGGGGAGACUGGAAUUCCUGGUGUAGCGGUGAAAUGCGCAGAUAUCAGGAGGAACACCGAUGGCGAAGGCAGGUCUCUGGGCUGUAACUGACGCUGAGGAGCGAAAGCAUGGGGAGCGAACAGG